CCUACGGGGGACAGCAGUGAGGAAUAUUGGUCAAUGGACGAGAGUCUGAACCAGCCAAGUAGCGUGAAGGAUGACUGCCCUAUGGGUUGUAAACUUCUUUUAUAUGGGAAUAAAAUGUUCCACGUGUGGGAUUUUGUAUGUACCAUAUGAAUAAGGAUCGGCUAACUCCGUGCCAGCAGCCGCGGUAAUACGGAGGAUCCGAGCGUUAUCCGGAUUUAUUGGGUUUAAAGGGAGCGUAGGUGGAUUGUUAAGUCAGUUGUGAAAGUUUGCGGCUCAACCGUAAAAUUGCAGUUGAAACUGGCAGUCUUGAGUACAGGAGAGGUGGGCGGAAUUCGUGGUGUAGCGGUGAAAUGCUUAGAUAUCACGAAGAACUCCGAUUGCGAAGGCAGUUCACUGGACUGCAACUGACACUGAGGCUCGAAAGUGUGGGUAUCAAACAGGAUUAGAUACCCCUGUAGUC
rnacentral:rRNA from 1 species